UACGAAGGGUGCAAGCGUUGCCCGGAAUUAUUGGGCGUAAAGCGCACGUAGGCGGCUUGGCAAGUCGGAUGUGAAAGCCCUCGGCUCAACCAAGGAAGUGCAUCCGAAACUGCUGAGCUUGAGUACUUAAGAGGAUCGCGGAAUUCCCGGUGUAGAGGUGAAAUUCGUAGAUAUCGGGAGGAACACCAGUGGCGAAGGCGGCGAUCUGGGAAGAUACUGACGCUGAGGUGCGAAAGCGUGGGGAGCAAACAGG
rnacentral:rRNA from 1 species